CGAAGUGUACACACGCAUCGUAGAUAAUUCUUCUUGAUAAUAAAUACAACAGAUAUUAAUAUAAGAGUUAAAUUAAACUUGCUGUACUCAAUGAUCGAUGAGAGUAUAAAAGAACCGAAAACUUAUCGUCAAAUUCACACUUUAGAAGUACACUAACAGUAGCCACACAUUGAUGCAAAACGUAGUCAUAGUACGGAGCAUAGUAUAAAGCCGCCAUUAGAUUUCGUCUUACUGCAGCAUCGUUAUGUAGAUCUAAUUAAUGAAUCCUGAAUACUACGGCGUGUUAUCUGUUUGCAGCAAUGCCUCCAUUGUCACCACUCGUAAGGUUCAACGAUGGAAGUAGAAGAAAUAUGGUCGGUCUCUGAGAAACAGGAAGAUCUAGGGUUUAAUUCUAAUAACAUAGCAUUAAGUACAGAUUUAACUCCGACGCUUGUGGUUUCACAAACACGUUCAAGGAAAAUGAAGUGCACGAUGUGUUGGUCGUAGUAAUGCGAAACGUUUCUUGCCGUUUUCAAAUUUACGUGAAUGAGAUAAUAUUCCGUUAAAGUACGAUAUGACUUUAUUGUUAAUAUUUGUUACGAUUAGAUAAGCUGUUAAGGUUUUUAUGAUAUUUUGUUUACUUUUUUUUUCAAUAGAAAGAAAGAUAACACAGCUGACAUUUUUUGUAAUACAAUGUUACAGAUAGAAAUGUUUAUAUCAAAUAGGAUUGGAGAUAAGGUAUACUAAAAUGAUCUUAUACAAGUUAAAAAGCUUUAUCCUUGAUAACUCAAAGGACAAAGUCGAGAACAAAGAGCGAUUCGUCAGACACCAAGAUGUCGGCCAAAGAUUAAAGUUUCCUCAGUUAAUCUUUAUCAUAAAUCUUAAUUAAAUAUCC